CGUGUAGGCGGACCAUCAAGUCAGAUGUGAAAACUGUGGGCUUAACUCACAGCCUGCAUUUGAAACUGUUGGUCUUGAGUACAGGAGAGGAAAGCGGAAUUCCAGGUGUAGCGGUGAAAUGCGUAGAUAUCUGGAAGAACACCAGUAGCGAAGGCGGCUUUCUGGACUGAUACUGACGCUAAAGCGCGAAGGCUUGGGUAGCAAACAGGAUUAGAUACCCUGGUAGUCC
rnacentral:rRNA from 1 species